CUUUUACACAUCUGCUGUCUCUGGACAGAUACUCACCAUUCUAAUUACCCUACACUGAUAGGUGGUAUCACUGCUAUUUCCUUCCCUCUUCACAUCUGCUGUCUCUGGACAGAUACUCACCAUUUUAAUUACCCUCCACUGAUAGGUGGUAUCACUGCUGUUUCCUCCCCCUUUUACACAUCUGCUGUCUCUGGACAGAUACUCACCAUUUUAAUUACCCUCCACUGAUAGGUGGUAUCACUGCUAUUUCCUCCCCCUUUUACACAUCUACUGUCUCUGGACAGAUACUCACCAUUUCAAUUCCCCUACACUGAUAGGUGGUAUCACUGCUAUUUCCUCCCCCUUUUACACAUCUGCUGUCUCUGGACAGAUACUCACCAUUUUAAUUACCCUCCACUGAUAGGUGGUAUCACUGCUAUUUCCUCCCCCUUUUAUACAUCUACUGUCUCUGGACAGAUACUCACCAUUUCAAUUACCCUACACUGAUAGGUGGUAUCACUGUUAUUUCCUCCCCCUUUUAUAUAUCAACUGUCUCUGGACAGAUACUCACCAUUCUAUUAUCCUCAACUGAUAGGGUGUAUCACUUCUGUUACCUCCCCUCUUACACAUCUACUGUCUCUGGAUAGAUACUCACCAUUUCAAUUACUCUCCACUGAUGAGUGGUACCACUGCUAUUUCCUCCCCCUAUAACACAUCUGAUGUCUCUGGACAGAUACUCACCAUUAUAAUUACCCUCCACUGAUAGGUGGUAUCACUGCUAUUUCCUCCCCCUUUUACACAUCUGCUGUCUCUGGACAGAUACUCACCAUUUUAAUUACCCUACACUGAUAGGUGGUAUCACUGCUAUUUCCUCCCAUCUUACACAUCUGCUGUCUCUGGACAGAUACUCACCAAUUUAAUUACCAUACACUGAUAGGUGGUAUCACUGCUAUUUCCUUUCCCACUUACACAUCUGUUGUCUCUGAACAAAUACUCACCAUUUCAACUAGAUAUCAUUGAGAUGGGAGCCAUCUCUGUGGGUCCCGCUCUGAAUAAUGUGUGGUAAAAAAUUUGUAUCUUUAUUAUUGGACAUGGGGUUGUCAACUGAAACCAAAGUUUUUGACCUUGACCUUUGACCUAGGAAGUUGUACAUAAAUUAUGACAAACUCUCUGGUGUUGGUUUAUAAACAUGUCAAGUAUAAACUUCGAAAUCAUAACGGUUCUCAAGAUAUAGAGCGGACACGAUCUUUACCAUAGGACAUGGGGUUGUCAACUAAAACCAAAGUUUUUGACCUUGACCUUUGACCUAGGAAGUUGUACAUAAAUUAUGACACACCCUCUGGUGUUGGUUUAUAUACAUGUCAAGUAUAAACUUUGAAAUCAUAAAGGUUCUCAAGAUAUAGAGCGGACACGAUCUUUACCAUAGGACAUUGGGUUGUCAACUAAAACCAAAGUUUUUGACCUUGACCUUUGACCUAGGGAGUUGUACAUAAAUUAUGACACACCCUCUGGUGUUGGUUUAUAUACAUGUCAAGUAAAAACUUUGAAAUCAUAACGGUUCUCAAGAUAUAGAGCGGACACGAUCUUUACCAUAGGACAUUGGGUUGUCAACUAAAACCAAAGUUUUUGACCUUGACCUUUGACCUAGGAAGUUGUUCAAACAUUAUGACACACCCUCUGGUGUUGGUUAAUAUACAUGUCAAGUAUAAACUUUGAAAUCAUAAAGGUUCUUUAGAUAUAGAGCGGACACAAUUUGUUACGGACGGA